UUGAUGGAAUGAUUAACUUAAUGAAUUAUAAAUCAUACCUUGAUUCGCUAAAUCCAUCUUUAAUUGGACUCUGAGAUGCGUGCCCAGCCGCGGUCAACCUAGAUUUGCUCUGAUUGAAAAGAGAUUAGCGAGAAAUCUUCUGGAGAGAGAGCUCUUAAUGCGUGUAUUAGAGAAGGGGUCUGACAGGCUAUUUAUAGCCCUCUCCAGGGACCAAACGCCGUGAUUAGUUACACACGUGAAGAGUCACCCCCAUCAAGGCAACCUUUCACUGCCGUGCAAUUACCUUAAUGCCCUUGUGAUUAUCAGGAUUUACGAAAUUCAAGGGACACUUGUCAAACGUGGGUUCUAAUUAAACGAGAUCAGGGUUUAAUUAAAACGGGAUCCAACAUUCU
rnacentral:lncRNA from 1 species